rnacentral:rRNA from 1 species
AGUGAACGCUGGCGGUAGGCCUAACACAUGCAAGUCGGACGGCAGCACAGUAAGAGCUUGCUCUUACGGGUGGCGAGUGGCGGACGGGUGAGGAAUACAUCGGAAUCUACUUUUUCGUGGGGGAUAACGUAGGGAAACUUACGCUAAUACCGCAUACGACCUACGGGUGAAAGCAGGGGAUCUUCGGACCUUGCGCGAUUGAAUGAGCCGAUGUCGGAUUAGCUAGUUGGCGGGGUAAAGGCCCACCAGGGCGACGAUCCGUAGCUGGUCUGAGAGGAUGAUCAGCCACACUGGAACUGAGACACGGUCCAGACUCCUACGGGAGGCAGCAGUGGGGAAUAUUGGACAAUGGGCGCAAGCCUGAUCCAGCCAUACCGCGUGGGUGAAGAAGGCCUUCGGGUUGUAAAGCCCUUUUGUUGGGAAAGAAAAGCAGCAGGUUAAUACCCCGCUGUUCUGACGGUACCCAAAGAAUAAGCACCGGCUAACUUCGUG